CACAGAGCCACAGAGCUUUCCAGAUCCUUCCUGUACCCUUUGCACUGCUGAGGGGGACCUCCACAGAGGAGCUUCAGAGAAGGAGAGGGCCAAAGUGCUGGGCACUGAGCUAGUCCCAGGGUUGGUCAUCCUACACCCUCUGCUGCAGCUGUGCAAGAGCCAGAGAACAGGGUGGUGGCAAGACACUGUUCCCUGUGUCCCUGUUCACCUGGCAGCACACCUGGGUGUGCUCUUCAGUAAAGGAGACAGCUACUGACAAGCCUGGUGUCUGAGAUAAAGAUGGGGACAGACAGGUUACGUGACAUGCUCAAGAUCACAUGAGCAGUCUGUGUCGGAGUGAGAAACUGCACCUGGAUCUCUCAGCUGUGAGGCUGUUGCUUUUGGCACUGUCCUCCUCGCAGCUAACAACACAUCCAAAUUGACUGCCUGUCUCCUUUCUAUGCCUAUGAAUGAGAUACAAUCACAAGGUGUGGUGCCCUGAUCGGAGUCUUGCAAGAAAGUAACACUCAUGCAUCCACCCACCCACCCCUGCAGAUGGUCGGAGGGUCUCUCCUCGCCUUCGUGACAGAAAGUGGUUGAUUCACCUCCGCCCAGCGGUAAUUAUGUUGGCCUGCCUACUGGAAGUUCCCAUGUUGGCAUCAGAGUGGUAAGCCUAGAACUCACUGCUGAGAUUAAUUGCAAAGCAAAGGCAUGAAUUCUUGGUGUCUGUUCAGCCUAGUAAAAGUUACUUAAUGCACUGUAUCAUUUACUCAUUAUUUUAUUUUUAAUGAUAAUUAAAAUGCUCCUAAUUGCUGUUACCCUACCAUGCUCCUGUUUCUCAGCAGCUACUUGCAUGCAGCCUUCCCAUCAAACUAGAAAGCCGUUCUGGUAGCAAAAAUUUUAUGGCAUUUUUGGUUUUUCCUUUCCUUUUGGAAGAGUCCCUGUUUUUAAUUCUUUUAUUUGAGAUCCUCCUGUGCAAAACACAGCUCCUUCUGGAGGGGCUUUGUGCUCCUGAAAGGUUAUCAUUUUAUCUCCCAGCUAUAGGACAAAAUUAUUCCCUUGUCAGUGCAGUUGUUACUGCACCAGGCUGGCUUGGCAGGACUCCACUCCUCCUUUGUUUAAGUGUAUUUAUUUUUAUAUCAGGGAGGUAAUAAAAUUGACAAAAGAGGUUUAUUCAGACUGUAACUGUACAGUUAACCACACAAGCAGAAUACAACGUCCAACACACUUCCUUUUAUUUAUGGCAUCAGUGCUAAGCCAUUAUAGUACCAGCACUAGGUAACUUUUCCUCCCUUCACCUUUUUGAAACCUCUUUUGCACCAGCAUCUCACACCAAGGUUUCUGUUUGCUCAGCAUCCUCCAUCUUCGCAGGAGGGUGUUGGUACACAGUGCAAGAUUUUUAGCAGAAGUAAGGCCAAGCCUGUAGGGCCCCAGCCCGCAGCCUGCCAAGGGAGGGCAGGAGGAGUGAGGCAGGGGGGCUGCAGCCCACCUUCAGCCUCUCAGCUGGAUGCUCCAGCCAUAACAGUCUGCACGAAGGUCCAUGGGAGCCCUUCUGGAUGGAAUCUGGGGUCCCCUGGGGGAUGUUCCCAAACACGCCAUCAAGACCAGCUGUAGCCCGCCUUGGCUGAGUCCUGAGGUCCUAGAGCACCUCAGAGCUGUGGUGCUGAGCGCUGUGGUGAGUAACGUGGCCCCAUGGAGCCAGCGCUAACCCCAGCGUCCUUACCCAACCAGUGGGCUCUCACCUACAGCUCAGGUGUAGCAUCCAAAUGAUCCUUUAAACCCAGCAAUGGAACAGGAGCUGCAGUCUGUUUAGCAAGGUCUGUUUUCAUCUGUGUUCAUCAGUGAGCUGGGAUCAGAGUGGGUGUAGGUCCUGGGGAUGGCUGACUGGAGUUAGCAAAGAUGAGGUGUGGGAGGAUGGAGUAACAUUUCAAAAGAGAAGGUGCAUUCACAACUUCCCUGUUUCUAACCAGUGUACAAGAAUAGUCAUGAUACAAUGGCACAUGGGGUCUCGACAAGGGAAUAGUCUUUUAAUGCCUUGCUCGAUGGAGGGAAUAGAGCACAGACAUCAAUGCAGGACAGGGAAAUCAAUUCACUCAAUAUUAUUUGUUAAUAUACCAGUUUCACCACCUUUAUAAGCACUGGAAUAUUAGUGUCAUCUGAUACAGGCAUCCAACAUGUCAAUAGGGAGACUGCUGAUGAGGAGGCUUCCAGACAAGCUUCGCAACAGCCAUUACCAUAUACUGAAACGUUUACCGCAGCAGCAGUUUCAUUUCUGACCCCGGCACUGAGACUACCCAGCCUCUGGACCUGUGUGUGUUUUGGGGCCAGCCUUCCUCUUCUGAGGCUCUGCUACUCACCGAGACCGUACGCAGGCUGGUAUGUGGGUCUGCAAAAGGGAAUCAGGGAAGUUACCGUGCUCUGCUGACCAGGAUUGCUGCGUAACAGCUGCUCCAAGUGCAGUGCAGGUUACACAGGCGUUAACCAGCAAUUCAGCUUAGGGGGCUGUAAGCUGUGUCAGACGGCAGGCUAGGUUUCACAGGGUUCUCCAAGAGCUUAUGUUCAGCACUGCUGAAAGGCAGUGGGAUGGGGUACCCAGAUCCCUUUGGUGCUGACUGUAUUGCUUACUGCAGGCACGUCUGGAAGGUGUUGACCACCAGCGUUCCUGAGUGUUGAUUCCUGUGUGCUCUGUAAGCGCCUUCAUUUAGAAACAACGGAAUGGCAUUGCUGCUUGCCCUUGAGAGGAGGCACAGAGUCUCUGUGCUUAAAUUCGCCAAUGGCUGCAGGCAGAAACCAGGCUUUGGGAGCUCUGUUUUUGUCUGACACCGUCUGAUGGCCUGAGCCUUGUCCUUGAGAGCCCAGUGCUACAGCUGAGGUGAGGUGGCUCUGGCUUGGCGGGGUCAGGUACCCACCCUGUUGAGCCCUCCCAAACAUAAGCAGUGCCUCACCUUUGUGCUACUUCAACUGAACAGAGAGAGGACUUUACCACCCCCUCUUGUAUCAGGAAGGUCAAUCUCCACACAGACUGCCUUUUUUUUUAAAUUGAUACAUGAAAAGGCAUCAUAAAAUGCUGUAAUAGGAGCCCAAUUACUGACUCUUUGGAAGUACUACGCGAUUACUGGCUCUCAGUGCAGUAAAUAGAAAGCAGUGAGGUUCUGGAGUUUAUUUCCAAACAGGUGAGUGGAAACUCACAGACCAGGAGGCGAUUAGCGUGUCUGCAGGUCUGGUUUCUCCUUUCCCAGAAGUGAAGGUGGGCGUUAGGCUGAGGUGUGCAACACUCACAUCAUGCCUCAUCUAUGGUUUGCCAACAUUCAUUUGUUGCUUUCUACUCUUUAGCAAUCAAACAGAAACUUUUCAGUUGGUACCUUCUGGGUGACCAGGUAUGAGAAAUAACCUUUUGGUCACUAUUGCAGCAUUGUGAAAACGUUCUUAGGUGAUAGAAAAGCUGCAUCACAUGAGCAGAGUACAUUAUCUCAGAGCUACCUGUAUGGUUCAGAGAGUUUGUUAUCAAAAAUGUGGAUUAAUUUUCUGAGUGAUACUGUACACACUGCAAGAGAAAGGCUCCAGAUGGAGCUGCUCAGGCUUACAUGAACAUAUUUGCCUGUUACAGAGACCUUCCUACCGCUUGAACACCGUCAGUGGCAAAAGCUACCUUGGCUGCCGUUACAGCAGGACUGAGUCAGUAAUGCCAUGUUAUGACAAAUAGGCUGGGCUGUAUCACCAAUAUUGUGAUUGCUCAGGAGGCAGAUGGCCCUCUAGUUACUUCUGGGAAAUAUAUAAAAAUUUCAAAAUUUGUAUUGUCAUAUUAAACCACUCUAAAAACGUAGGUAAUGCUAUGUAACAGACAAAGGUAUCUCUUCCCAGUGAAGCCGUGUUGAGUCAUUUUAUAUUACCACUGAAGGAACAAACCAAGUUUUUAUAACAAUAGUUGGCAGUAUUUCUAUUAAAUGGUAUUAGCCAAUAAUUUCUAAAACUGCCUGUUAAUUACAGCAUUCAGCCCUUGCAGGCAGUUCUAUUUCACAUAAGUGCAAUCCAAUUUCCAGCCAUCAACUGAAGACUAUAGCCUUUUCUCGUAGUCAAACAAGACCAUGUGUUACCAAAUUCCUUUCUGGGGUAAAUCUAUCAUCAUUGGGUGUGGGGUUUUUGGUGUUGUUUUUUUCUUGUUUGGUUGGUUUUAUGCCUGGCACUGCCAGGUAACAUUCAAAAGAGGCAGUUUACACGCCACUACCUCUAGGCAGCUUGUCUGGGCACUGCGCGAAGGCCUGCCAGCUGAGGGCCAGGGCAGCUACUGAGCUCACAUGCAGCACUCUGCAGAUGCGGCUGGGCUGUUGUGGCAGCUAGCCUGGCUCCAGAGCCCUGGUGACCUGUUGUCCACUCCAGGGCUCUGACACCAGCAGCAAACUGCUAGUCCAGAGGACCAGCUCUGCGCUGCAGCCACCGGCCUGGGCUGGGGACUGCUGGCAGGCAUGGUGCAGAAAGCGCUGCAUUGGCUUGCCAGGAGCUGGGGCUGAAGAGCAGGAGCCUGCCUGCCAUUUGGGGUGCCCAGCUCCAUCGGCCCAGGCAGCUGAGCUGCGUCAGGCAGCCCUUGAAUACCAAAACCCCCCAACACAUUUGGCAAGAGGGCUGGUGCACUUGUGCUGCUGGGCCAGUCUGUCGCUGGCCCUCAGCGGCCCUCUGGAGGUGUCUGCUGGGUCCACAGCGCGUCUGAAGGACAUCACGUCAUGCUGCAAAGCUUUAUCUUCUAGCUGCACAAGCACAUCCUAGAGUGUACAGAGCAAGAGCAGAUAAGGAUAAAUCAGGUAACUGUAGAAGUGGCAGGGAAAAGUGACAUUUGUUUUGUACUUAUCACUUUGACCAUCUGUAAUUAUUAUUGCUAAUGUUAGUGCUUCUAUUGCAAUAUUACCUGAGGUUGCCCCGGCAGCACUGAGCUCCAUUGUAUUCAGCACAAAUGCACCAAACCUCUCAAAAAAAAUUACAGUUGAGAACACAAGUGACUUACGAUGGUGGAGAGGAGGGAUAAAACCAAAUGGAUACAAUUAGCUUAGGCACAACUUAGUCAUCUUCUUCUUGGUAUAAUUAUAAAAUGGACAAAGGUAGCGCCAACUAACCUCAAAUGCCCUUCUAGCCAUAAUUAAUUAUAUUGCAUAAUAAUGGUGUCAGUUUAAACAUUGUUUAAAACCCAUGCUUUGCUUGAAAUUGCUCUACAGCCACACUUACGUCUUGCACAACAGACUAACACAUAACAGUGCCUUGACUUCCAUUUUCUAUUUUGUUGUGUCAUCUGUGCAUAGGAAAAGCUCUUGACCAAAAAGGAGCCAGUGGUACCGUGGUAAAUAGAAGUGGGUAGAGUCAUCUGUCUGUGGUAUAUAGGGAGCAGGUAAAUACCAGAAGUGCCCAGAGAAGUGGGUACGAAGGGAGUGCCCUUUGCCUGCGUUUACCCUUGACUACACCACUUACAAGAGUUGCAUAAUUGAUACAAUUGAACCACAUCAGUCCUUUAUUUAUAGAACAUAAUGAAAUAGUUUUCAACAUCCUGGAUCACGCUGCAUGGGUGAUUGCCAUAUGUGCACCCAAGGAGAAUAAAUAAAAACAUUUCCGUAAGGUAUUAUGUCUCUUCACCUUCUUUGGCUGCGUCCAGGACUUCAUUCUGAGAGCAGUUCUGUGGGGAGUGCAGCGCGCGUUCCUGCACUGCUGUUGCACAGGCUUCGGCAGAGGAGAGCUGCAGUGAUGCUGCUCCGUACCGCUGGAGUUUAAUGUGCCCCGUGUGGUACAUAAAGCAAUGUCAGAGUUUGGUGGGGCUCAGGGUGUGCACCUACGUGAACAUACCACAGAUUAUUGAGUGCAGUCCCCUGCACUGUACUUCAGUUAUUCCUUGUUCAAGCCCCACAGCCUGCAUUUGACCUAAGCCUGGCUUACCUAGAAAGCAUAUGGGCUUGAGCUCAAAUAAAAAAAAAAAAAAGCUGUGGCAUUUGAUAGCUGCUUUCAGUGAUGGAAAUGAAAGUGAGUCAUGAAGCGGUCCCCCGGUAAAGACAAACGACACACAUGCUCUGAGCCCACUGCCUGAGCCACAGGCUCCCACAGCAG